GACGUAGGGCGCGAGCGUUGUCCGGAUUUAUUGGGCGUAAAGAGCUCGUAGGCGGCUCGUUGCGUCAACCGUGAAAACCCGGGGCUCAACUCCGGGCCUGCAGUCGAUACGGGCUGGCUUGAGUGCGGUAGGGGAGACUGGAAUUCCUGGUGUAGCGGUGAAAUGCGCAGAUAUCAGGAGGAACGCCGGAGGCGAAGGCGGGUCUCUGGGCCGUAACUGACGCUGAGGAGCGAAAGCGUGGGGAGCGAACAGG
rnacentral:rRNA from 1 species